rnacentral:rRNA from 1 species
CCCAGACUCCUACGGGAGGCAGCAGUAGGGAAUCUUGCGCAAUGGGCGAAAGCCUGACGCAGCCAUGCCGCGUGAAUGAUGAAGGUCUUAGGAUUGUAAAAUUCUUUCACCGGGGAAGAUAAUGACGGUACCCGGAGAAGAAGCCCCGGCUAACUUCGUGCCAGCAGCCGCGGUAAUACGAAGGGGGCUAGCGUUGCUCGGAAUUACUGGGCGUAAAGGGCGCGUAGGCGGAUAGUUUAGUCAGAGGUGAAAGCCCAGGGCUCAACCUUGGAAUAGCCUUUGAUACUGGCUGUCUUGAGUUCGGGAGAGGUGAGUGGAAUGCCGAGUGUAGAGGUGAAAUUCGUAGAUAUUCGGCGGAACACCAGUGGCGAAGGCGACUCACUGGCCCGAUACUGACGCUGAGGCGCGAAAGCGUGGGGAGCAAACAGGAUUAGAUACCCUGGUAGUCCACGCUGUAAACGAUGAG